rnacentral:rRNA from 1 species
GACGAACGCUGGCGGCGUGCCUAACACAUGCAAGUCGAGCGGAGAUAAUUAAAAGCUUGCUUUUGAUUAUCUUAGCGGCGGACGGGUGAGUAACGCGUGGGCAACCUGCCUGUUACAGGGGGAUAACACAGGGACACUUGUGCUAAUAUCGCAUCACACAACGCGGUAGCAUUACCUUGUUGUCAAAGGAGCAAUCCGGUAAGAGAUGGGCCCGCGUCCAAUUAGCUAGUUGGAGGUGUAACGGACCACCAAGGCGACGAUUGGUAGCCGAACUGAGAGGUUGAUCGGCCACAUUGGGACUGAGACACGGCCCAGACGCCUACGGGAGGCAGCAGUGGGGAAUAUUGCACAAUGGGGGAAACCCUGAUGCAGCAACGCCGCGUGAAGGAUGAAGGUUUUCGGAUUGUAAACUUCUUUAGUCAGGGACGAAAAAAAUGACGGUACCUGAAGAAUAAGCCACGGCUAACUACGUGCCAGCAGCCGCGGUAA